AUCUGGUCGGAUCUGGAAUUCAACGGUGUGUGAUAUACCGUUAGGACUUUAAUAUGAUCUCGACUAUUUUACUAAUUUACCCUCGUCUUUCUAACUUCUUCAGUUUUGACGUUUACAUCUUUUCUAUAUACAGUGGUUGCCGUUUUUAGGUAUGGAAACAACGAGACUUAUCCUUGAGCGUUUGAUAAACGCUUCCACAUCGUUUGAUAACGAGACUUUUCUACAUACAGUAUCAAUCUUGUUUUGUUCAUACGUCACACACUCCAAGAUUUUGAUGGUAAAUUUUUUGUUUUUGUGUGUGUGUGUGUGUAAUGUGUAUGUU